rnacentral:miRNA from 18 species
AGAGGUAUAGGGCAUGGGAAAA